rnacentral:rRNA from 1 species
AUACGUAGGGGGCGAGCGUUGUCCGGAAUGAUUGGGCGUAAAGGGCGCGUAGGCGGCGCGGUAAGUCUGGAGUGAAAGUCCUGCUUUCAAGGUGGGAAUUGCUUUGGAUACUGCCGCGCUUGAGUGCAGGAGAGGUUAUCGGAAUUCCCGGUGUAGCGGUGAAAUGCGUAGAGAUCGGGAGGAACACCAGUGGCGAAGGCGGGUAACUGGACUGCAACUGACGCUGAGGCUCGAAAGUGUGGGGAGCAAACAGGAUUAGAUACCCUGGUAGUCCACACUGUAAACGAUGAAUUCUAGGUGUAGGGGGUAUCGACCCUUUCUGUGCCGCAGUCAACACAAUAAGCAUUCCGCCUGGGGAGUACGGCCGCAAGGUUGAAACUCAAAGGAAUUGACGGGU